UACGCUGAUACCGCAUACGACCUACGGGUGAAAGCAGGGGAUCUUCGGACCUUGCGCGAUUGAAUGAGCCGAUGUCGGAUUAGCUAGUUGGCGGGGUAAAGGCCCACCAAGGCGACGAUCCGUAGCUGGUCUGAGAGGAUGAUCAGCCACACUGGAACUGAGACACGGUCCAGACUCCUACGGGAGGCAGCAGUGGGGAAUAUUGGACAAUGGGCGCAAGCCUGAUCCAGCCAUACCGCGUGGGUGAAGAAGGCCUUCGGGUUGUAAAGCCCUUUUGUUGGGAAAGAAAUCCAGCCGGCUAAUACCUGGUUGGGAUGACGGUACCCAAAGAAUAAGCACCGGCUAACUUCGUGCCAGCAGCCGCGGUAAUACGAAGGGUGCAAGCGUUACUCGGAAUUACUGGGCGUAAAGCGUGCGUAGGUGGUUAUUUAAGUCCGUUGUGAAAGCCCUGGGCUCAACCUGGGAACUGCAGUGGAUACUGGAUGACUAGAAUGUGGUAGAGGGUAGCGGAAUUCCUGGUGUAGCA
rnacentral:rRNA from 1 species